rnacentral:lncRNA from 1 species
AAAAUUAUUAUUUUAUUUGUUUAAGUUGGAAACAGUUUAAAAUCUUUUAGAAUGUGGUAUUUGGAAACAGUUACCCACAGGAGAAAUGAGAAGCUGAUAGUAAAGCCUUGCGAGGUUCCGGUUGACAUUCCGGGUAAUGAAUGUCGAUUGAGACAUCGAGGCGGUUGUCACGGGCUCGAUGGAAGUUCCGGGUUGUGACAUAAUCAAACAUAUAUGCAUUUAUCCUAAAACUUUUUAGUACAAGUUCACUCUCAUGUCUUUGUUAAUGCUUGUGGAUCGACUCUAACUUCGACUAAUGCACCGUGUGGAAGUAUGGGGCCUCGUUGGAACCUAUCACACAUAUAGCAACACAACCAACUCAAUUUACAUAAAUAUUAUUACAAAAGCUAUUUCCUAAUUCAAACUUUACUAGUUAUUCCUAACUAUUUUUCAAUUACUAUUUGACUAGCCAUUUAUUUGUACUAUUCUGGUCACAAUAGAAAUAAAUAAACAACCCUCAACACUAGAACAACCCACAAAUCUAAUCAUUGACCUUCAUCAACAACUUAAAAAUUAACCCUAAUUCAUUACUCACCUUGGUGGGCUUGUACUAGAAUUCCUUGAUAAAGAUUAAAGAGGGGAAAACUCUUUUAAGAGCUUUCAAGCUACUUUGAAGUGUUUUUCUCUCUCUAAAACUUUUGACUAGUGAGAGAAAAUGCAGGAGAAAGAUUUUUUUUGAUGGUUUUUGACGUGGAAAAGUGAAAGAUCAUGAAAAACCUUAUGAAAAAGUGGGCAAAAACAUGAAAUUUGGACUUUUUAUAAGAAAGUUAUGGAGGAUUCAAGAUGUCUUCCCAUGGAAGAUAAAGAAUUUUGCAAAAAGGAGAGAAGAAAUGAGAGGAAGAUGAAAAAGGUGUUGAAACUUUAGAUAUUUAUAUCUAAAUUUAAUCCAAGUCUCGCACAAAUUACAAAAAUGCCCUUAACAAGGUGAUUCUAUCUUCCUUAUUUCCUCUGUGCAGUCUUUUACUCUUUGACACUAAGAAAAGGUCUAUAAUAGAUUACAAGUGUCACGACUCGGAACUCCCAUCGAGCCCGUGACAACCGCCGCAAAGUCUCUUCAGAAUUCUUUACCCCGAAUGUUGAUCGAAACCUCGCAAGGCUUCCGUAUCAGUUUUCUUACCUCCGCUGUGAUCGACAGUAACUAAAAUCGUGUUUUGAAACGAUAUGGACCAUUUUUCCAUCCAAAAACAAUGAAAAUUUAUUUCUACCUCACAGGGGUAUUUUAGUCAUUUUUUUUCGAAAAUACCGAAACCAGCCAAAAACAUGGUGUAAAAGUUAAAUAUAUUCAUACGUACUUUUAAGUAGAUAACUAAAGUAUAAAAUUUCUUUUACAGGGAAACGUGGGCCCCCAAUUGACCAAGAAGGUGUAGGGCUACGAACCUUUACUUUCUAGGAUGCAACUUCGAGAUUAAUUCUCAUCUUAAUCAACCAUCAACAAACUGUCCUGAGCCUGAAAAAUGGGUAGGAAGAAGGGUGAGAUUACAUAAUCCCAGUGAGUAAACAAUUACCAUCAAAAGCAUCUAAAGCCGAGUAGAUGGAGACAAUAUAAAAAAGUUUCAAUCUAUACCAAACAAUUUUUUUUCAUCAAAAUUUCCCGGCUUAUGAAUUUCUUAAACUUGGCCCCUGCCAGAAUCAUUCUCGAGGGUACCUUCGUCAAGGUAUUCCAUUGAGACCGCCAAGGCUGUUAAAUGUCCCAUACCUAUAAACAUGUUUUCGCAUCUGAGACACAACCGUUCCUUGGCGUUGGCUGAGUCUCACUCUCACGUGGUGGUCCUAACGUGAGGUGCACUUAAAUCUUACCUCAGGAAAUACUUUAUCCAACAUCUCCCCUUAGAGGUAAUUAUAUAAUUGGGUUACCGUGCCCCUCUCAUAGGCAAUCCACGGAAACCCCCACCACUGUAGUUACCGUUUAAUAUACCACCAGACCCAUAAAAUUUUCAGUAGCAUAAUAUGGCAAAUAAAAUUUAAUCCAAUCUACCGAGACCAAUCCAAAAUUGUUCAUAUAUUUCAUGCCAACCCCAAAAAUUUAGCCAUCAUGCUACCAUAGUGUCAUAAGCCACAAUUUCAAUAACAUAUAAAAUCAUAAAUUCAACACAGUCUCCAUAAACGUGAUUUUCCCAAAACAAUAUUUGUUUUCAAAACCAGUAUAAAUCUCAUUUUUGUUAAAAAACAUUUUAAUUGAAAAACAUAAUAUUUUAUAACUUAAACUCACCAUUCAAUAAAAGCAUCAAACAAGUAUAAUUACUCUAGAUACUUAAGACGAUAAAUUGUCCACUCACAGUAUUAGGAGUAGACAUACUCCUAUUUUCAAUCCGUGGGUACAAUCCUUUACCCGUAUCCAAUGGCUCACCACCUAGCCAUAAUCCUUGACACAUAUUCCAAUUAAAUUGUGUCUAACAGUCAUAAGCUAUUUCAGGCUUGAUAUAUAUGCAUGAUAUGAAAUGAAAAAUGCACGGGUAGCCAUCUAGACUCGGUAUUGGCCUAAGUCGAUUUUUCAUCCGAUAAAUUGGUCAAUGCGUCCAAUUUCAUUCCUACUUGCUCCAUUUCUUUUCCAAUCCCUCAAUUCACCAAACACAAACUAAUUAACACACAAUUAGGCAGAAUUUAUCUUCACUUUUCUUCUUGGAACUGUCGGCCAACAAUGGUACACUAACUCCGUGAUUUUUCCUUCUUAAUUUUCUCUCCAUAAUUCAUUAAUUCCUACACCAAAAGCUAUUAUUUCUUAAUCAAAUCACCUAGAAUAACAUCCCAUUCUUCCUCAUUAUUCACUUAGAGAAUUCGGCUACUGAUGGGCACCAAACCUUUGGUGGUUUUCUUCACUUGUUUUCAUCCUACACAUCAUUAAUCACCUAAAAGCACUAACAUACCUAAAAAUCAAACUAAUCCAAGAUCAUUCUCUCUCCAUACCCAUUUUGACCAGCCAUGAAUUCACCAUGAAAUCAUGCUUCUCAACCAUAGAAAUAAGAAAAUAAAGUAUGGGUAUUGUAAAUCUCAAGUAAAAAUAAAGAAUUUUCACUUUACCUUGCUUAAUUCCUUGGAUUUUCACACUUUCUCUUGAAUUUUCCCACCUAGGGUUUGUGUUCUUUCCUUUCCUCUUCACUUCAUGCUUU